rnacentral:lncRNA from 1 species
CUCCCAACAUGAUGCCUUACCAGGUGAACAGUUCCCCUCUGCCCGCCGCGAAGGCAGUGACGUCAGAGCGGAGCAGGAUGAGCGGCCGGCAGCGCGGCGGUCCUGAUGCUGCGGGACAUGCGGCGCUCAGGCAAAACAACUACACGAGGACCAAACUUCCGGUGAUACAGCCGCUGAGCAGGUCCAGGGAUGGGGGGUCCUUGAUCGGCGGCUUCAUAUUCGCAGGGUCACCUGAAUUGGCUAAAGAUGCAAAGCUGGAAUCAGAGAACACCGACCCAGGGGACAUCUGUGGCAGACACUUCCUCUUUGAUAAGAAAUGUGCGAGGUUUGAGCGGACCAGGACUGUGUUUCCUCCUCUGCAGAGAGACUACCGUGUGCACAGACCUGGCACCCUGUGUCCCUUAAGCUUCGCCAAGGAGCUUUCCCACAGCCAUGCAGCGCAGCAGCCCUUCAUCCUGGGUUACCCUGAGCGAUAUGAACUGAACCCAGGUCAAGCCCCCCCGUUCCUCUCCACUUUAUACCUCAAGGGCAGAAACCCUGUCUCGGUUGAAAGCUGCAAACUCAGCAGGCCUAAGGCGCAUCAUCCAAACUACCACCUGUCGACUGUUAAAGACAGUCAGAAGAGUGAGUUGUUUCAAUGGUUUUGACUGUGCAGCCAAAGUAUAUGCUCUUUUUCCCCACUCAGGUAUAUGUUGUGGUCUUAACACGUCAAGUCAGAAUCCCCUGUCUGUGUUGCAAGUGAAAAAAGAGAGUCUUAACCUUCGACCUGUACAGGUGUUCAUGACAUUGAUUUGCUGGCAGCAAAGGUGUAAUUUUAGUGGAUUUUGACUCUCUUCAAACAAAAAGCGCAGAUCCCCGGGCCUCGUGUUGUCAGUUCAGGGCAACUUGUUAGCUCUGGUACAUAACAGAGAGCGACAAGGGGUCACAUGGAGAAAGGGAGUGUUCAGUGUUGCCAAGUGGAAUGAGGGUUCAUAUUUCACCGGUUUGCUCCAGUUUUUUUCUAAGGGCUUUCUCUUUUAGUUUAACCACCAUACACUGAAUUAUUUUGUGAAGCACUCAGUUGAUGGACAUUUUUUACUGCCAAUUGAUAUUACUUAUAGAUAGAUAGAUAGAUAGAUAUGUACUUUAUUGAUCCCAAGCUGGGAAAUCCCGGUGUUACAGCAGCAAGUUUCACACAACACACCUUAAAAAAUAUACAAUUAUAUUCAAAAACAAUUGCAAUAAAUAUAGAGAAUAAGGACAGUAAAUAUAAAGAAUUUACAUGAAAUAUUAAUAGUGGAAAAUAGUGUAGUAUGUACAAUCAGUUACCAGUAAUGUUCAAAAGAACAUGGUAACAUAAAGGUGCAAAUGUGCCAGGAUUUGUGUUUUUAAUUUAAUUUAGUUAAUCAGUGCCACUUACAGAUUGAGAUUGUACCUUAUAUAAUGUUUUAUUUCUCAGGUAUAUACCAUAUUAUUGUAUUAUAGGUCUCAUCCUAACUUCUGUUAUGCUACGCUUUUCUCUCCGACUGUUUACUUCCUCUCCUCUUGCCACACAGGCCAGUCCUAUCCCGACCCGGUGGUCGGAGCCUCUCGCUCUUUUAUCCACAAGGUAUCGAAGCUGUCCUCUCUGGAGGCUGAGACGGUGAGACAAGAGAAGCUCAAGAAAACAAGGAAACCUCCAUCCUGACAAUCACCUGCUCCCCAGUCGCACUGGUCGAGGAUCAAAACCAUUGAGUCUGUGCCAACGACCUCUGAGCAGGAUCAAACGUUCAGGGCGCCGUGUUCGUUUCAGUGGCUCCUUCUCACGGCUUGUUUAUCCUCAGUGACAUUAGUUUUCUGCCUCACAUGGCUCGUCUUCACAUUUUGGGAUUCCUGACCAAGAGCGUCUCUCUUUUGGUGACCACAUAUAGUAUUAUAUAUAUACAUAUACACAGUAUAGUAUAUAGUAUACCUUGCAGCAAAUGCCCUACAAUAAACGGGGAUAAUAAAUCCAAAUAAUUUUUUCCAUUUUGAUUCCCAGCUCUGUGUAGCUCACCACUCAACACCUGCACAGUUAUCUGACCUUUUUAAUGGCUGUUGUGUAAUAUGACCAUAUUUCUUGCCGUAUCAUCAGUAUGUAGCAGAUACCGUCUGGCUUUGAUUUUACUACAACAGUGUUUCGAAGAUUACUGUUAAAUACCAAUUAGGAUUUGUUAAGCAAGUGGGACAUUGAUGUAUGAAAUAGUUUAGAAGAACUAUUACUGUGCCUUGUAAAACGUCUUCCUGCAAUAAAAAAAAAAGUAUUUUUAGUAGCACAAGAACGUCUUCUCUAAUUUGAAUCGUUAUAUUUGUUUUGCGGCUUCUAUUGAACGAAAGCUGACGAAGGGAGCUUCAUGUUCCCUUUGGCGCAUACGCUACAUUGCGACUCAUACAGUCAGCAAAAUGUCUAAAAGCUGCAAUGAAACAUAAUCUGCAUUCCAUAUCUCCCAAACAGACACAAAGCUGUGCCCCCACAUCCCAGAAUGUGGUGCUUUCCCACAUGGCACGUUGUUGUGUUGGCGUAUAGAAGGCAGAUGCCAGUCAGACCAGUUGUCGUUUUGUUUAUUCACUAUUAUUUGAAGAUGUUACAACAAGCUAUACAGCCACAGACUCUGCCUGAAGCAGGGGGGGCAUGCUGUCUAUAAAUAUUAAAAAGCAGAAAAUGAAAAAAAGGAAUAAUUCAAUAUGUCCAAAAUGAAGUUGUUGCAGCUGUCCCACAUGUCUCUGCUGUGUGUCAUCUCUCCAUCACAGUCACUUUCAGUUUUGUGCAGUAUUUAUCAGAAUGUCACGUGGAAACCGUCUAGAUGGCCACGUCUGUGUCAUCUGAAGGAUGACAGCAAUCCUGCAGUCUGAAGUGACUCAGCGCGGAGGCCAACAGGCCUCAAAGUGACAGAUCAUGACUUUCCGAUGAAGUGAAAAGCGUUCAAGUGAGAGAGCAAGGUAUUUGUUUUGUUAUUUUUUAUGACAUUAAAUAAAGUGGAGACAGAUGAUCAAAAAACAGUGGCAACACACUGAGCUCCCUGUUAAAUACGAAUGUGACGACGUGGGAUGACGGGCAGUGUUUCUGUUUCCCUCUGGAUCGUAAGGUGUGCACUUCAGGGACACAGUGACCUAGAAACAUGGAGCCAAGUGAAGGGGGUGCGUUCAUGCCCAAAUGGAGGCCCGGCCUCUUGUCGGGUUUUUACCGUCCUUUUCAAGUGUACUGACACAAAAUGACCUCGAACAAACCGUCAACAAUGAGGUCUUUAAUAAGAGCCGUACUGGGGCCUGCCACCAAGUGGUUUGUCCUUUCACUGCGAGUCGACGUGACUGUUAACCAGGACACCACUGUACCAUUCAACCAAUUUCUACAGAUCAUAGAGACGUCGAUGCAAAAAUGCAAACUUAUUUUAUCGUUAAUUAAAAGUUCUAACAGCUUCAGGUGCAUUUCCAAAUCUUGGUUACGGUUGUUUUGCUGCCAAUAUCCGGUUGUAUUGUAUUAACAAUCAGGAGACGAAAGAGUAUUCGCUUUUGUGAAGAAUAGCUAGGUUG